rnacentral:rRNA from 1 species
GGUCAAGUGAAGAAGCGCAUACGGUGGAUGCCUUGGCGACAGGAGGCGAUGAAGGACGUGGCAGCCUGCGAUAAGCUUCGGGGAGCCGGCAAACAGGCUUUGAUCCGGGGAUGUCCGAAUGGGGAAACCCACCGCGCAAGCGGUAUCCUGGCCUGAAUCCAUAGGGCCAGGAAGCAACACCCGGGGAACUGAAACAUCUAACUACCCGGAGGAACAGAAAUCAACCGAGAUUCCGUUAGUAGUGGCGAACGAACGCGGAACAGCCCAGUCACUGUAAGCACACCAUGUAUAGCCGAACCGUCUGGAAAGUCGGGCCAUAGAAGGUGAUAGUCCCGUAGGCGAAAUACCUGGUAUGUGGGUGACGAGGAGUAGGACGGGGCACGUGAAACCCUGUCUGAACAUGGGGGGACCAUCCUCCAAGGCUAAAUACUACCUGUCGACCGAUAGUGAACCAGUACCGUGAGGGAAAGGCGAAAAGAACCCCGGAGAGGGGAGUGAAAUAGAACCUGAAACCGUAUGCGUACAAGCAGUGGGAGCGCCUCCUUGGAGGCGUGACUGCGUACCUUUUGUAUAAUGGGUCAGCGACUUACUUCUCAGUGGCAAGCUUAACCGUCUAGGGGAGGCGAAGGGAAACCGAGUCUUAAUAGGGCGUUUAGUCGCUGGGAGUAGACCCGAAACCGGGCGAUCUAUCCAUGGCCAGGGUGAAGAUGGGGUAACACCCAUUGGAGGCCCGAACCCACUCCCGUUGAAAAGGUAGGGGAUGAGCUGUGGAUAGGAGUGAAAGGCUAAUCAAGCCCGGAGAUAGCUGGUUCUCCCCGAAAGCUAUUUAGGUAGCGCCUCGUGUAUUACUCCCGGGGGUAGAGCACUGUUAUGGCUAGGGGGGCAUUCGUGCCUUACCAAACCAUUGCAAACUCCGAAUACCGGGAAGUAUGAGCACGGGAGACACACGGCGGGUGAUAAGGUCCGUCGUGAAGAGGGAAACAGCCCAGACCGCCAGCUAAGGUCCCAAAAUCACAGCUUAGUGGUUAACGAGGUGGGAAGGCAUAGACAGCCAGGAGGUUGGCUUAGAAGCAGCCAUCCUUUAAAGAAAGCGUAACAGCUCACUGGUCGAGUCGGCCUGCGCGGAAGAUGUAACGGGGCUCAAGUUGUGUACCGAAGCUGCGGAUGUGUAGGUGUCUUAGGACUCCUGCACGUGGUAGGGGAGCGUUCCGUAAGCCUGCGAAGGUGUGCCGGAAGGCAUGCUGGAGGUAUCGGAAGUGCGAAUGCUGACAUGAGUAGCGAUAAUGCGGGUGAAAAACCCGCACGCCGAAAGCCCAAGGUUUCCUGCGCUACGCUAAUCGGCGCAGGGUGAGUCGGCCCCUAAGGCGAGGCAGAAAUGCGUAGUCGAUGGGAAACAGGUUAAUAUUCCUGUACCUCGUGCCACUGCGAUGGGGGGACGGAGAAGGCUAAACCAGCCGGGUGACGAUAGUCCCGGUUUAAGCGCGUAGGGAGUCAUCCUAGGAAAAUCCGGGGUGGCAAUUCUGAGGCGUGAUGACGAGGCCCGUUUCCGGGCUGAAGUGGUUGAUGCCCAGCUUCCAAGAAAAGCCCCUAAGCUUCAGGUGGUACAAGACCGUACCCGAAACCGACACAGGUGGGCGGGGAGAGAAUCCCAAGGCGCUUGAGAGAACUCGGGUGAAGGAACUAGGCAAAAUAGCACCGUAACUUCGGGAGAAGGUGUGCCCCCGGUACGUGAAGGCCCUGCGGCCGGAGCGGAAGGGGGUCGCAGUAACCAGGUGGUCGCGACUGUUUAAUAAAAACACAGCACUCUGCAAACACGAAAGUGGACGUAUAGGGUGUGACGCCUGCCCGGUGCCGGAAGGUUAAUUGAUGGGGUUAGCCGCAAGGCGAAGCUCUUGAUCGAAGCCCCGGUAAACGGCGGCCGUAACUAUAACGGUCCUAAGGUAGCGAAAUUCCUUGUCGGGUAAGUUCCGACCUGCACGAAUGGCGUAACGAUGGCCACUCUGUCUCCAUCCGAGACUCAGCGAAAUUGAACUCGCUGUGAAGAUGCAGUGUACCCGCGGCUAGACGGAAAGACCCCGUGAACCUUUACUACAGCUUUACACUGAACUUUGAAUAUGCCUGUGUAGGAUAGGUGGGAGGCUAUGAAGCUGGAACGCUAGUUCCGGUGGAGCCACCCUUGAAAUACCACCCUGGUAUGUUUGAGGUUCUAACCUGGGCCCGUAAUCCGGGACAGAGACAGUGUAUGGUGGGUAGUUUGACUGGGGCGGUCUCCUCCCAAAGAGUAACGGAGGAGCACGAAGGUACCCUCAGCGCGGUCGGAAAUCGCGCAUAGAGUGCAAAGGCAUAAGGGUGCUUAACUGCGAGACGGACGUGUCGAGCAGAUACGAAAGUAGGUCUUAGUGAUCCGGUGGUUCUGUAUGGAAGGGCCAUCGCUCAACGGAUAAAAGGUACUCCGGGGAUAACAGGCUGAUACCGCCCAAGAGUUCAUAUCGACGGCGGUGUUUGGCACCUCGAUGUCGGCUCAUCACAUCCUGGGGCUGAAGCCGGUCCCAAGGGUAUGGCUGUUCGCCAUUUAAAGUGGUACGCGAGCUGGGUUUAGAACGUCGUGAGACAGUUCGGUCCCUAUCUACCGUGGGCGCUGGAGACUUGAAGGGAUCUGCUCCUAGUACGAGAGGACCGGAGUGGACGUACCUCUGGUGUUCCGGUUGUCAUGUCAGUGGCACCGCCGGGUAGCUAUGUACGGACGGGAUAACCGCUGAAAGCAUCUAAGCGGGAAACCCUCCCUAAGAUGAGGUCUCCCUGGACCUUCGAGGUCCCUUAAGGUUCGUCGAAGACUACGACGUUGAUAGGCUGGAUGUGGAAGCGCAGUAAUGUGCGAAGCUAACCAGUACUAAUUGACCGUGAGGCUUGACCAU